AUCUGAUGAUGAAGGCAGCUUGCACGUAGCCUCUUGAAUCUCUCUCAAUAAUCAUAUAAACUUUCUACAUAUAGUUGUCUGAUUCCAGAAAUAUCUUUUCUGAAUGC
rfam:Lupinus angustifolius cultivar Tanjil chromosome LG04, whole genome shotgun sequence.